UGUGUCCCAGCCCUCUGCAUCCAGCUGGUGCGUCGCUGCGCAGCAGUAGCGCGCCACACUCACUAUGGCUUUAGCCGCAAGCAGGACGCUCUUGGCGCUAUUGGUUACCGUUUGCGCACCAGAAUGGGGAUGGACAGCAGAGAAGUCACUACGGCCUCAAAAUGGGAAACAGACAUCUGUGGAAAAGGGCCUAAGGGAUAGCUGGGAGCCUUCUAUCCAUCUGGAUGGAAGCCCUGUGGACCGUUUUGUCAUCAGCCCCAACAAGCCAACAAGGUCUCACCGCUUUACUAAAGCCGGCAAGGAUACUCGCCCUCAACCAUUGGAGGACGUAGACCCUGAAUGGGUUAACCUUGAUGGCUUUGCUGUGUUGGGCGGUGCACCUGUCAGCAACUCAACAGCAGGCCCAGUCAGGACUUUACAAACUGUAGCCAGAAAUCAGCCCUCUGUGCAGCGGGCCACCAGGGAGAACAGAAUGACUCAUUCAUCAGGCGUCUCUAGUACCAGGACACACAGAAGGGCACCGCAAUCCUCCUCAGGUCCCAGGCAGCCUGAGAGAGCUUUGGCAGGAGCCCCACUGCUGGAAAGGAGACGUCAACACCACACCAAACCUCAGUCUGAUCAGAGGAAUCGAAACACACCUAAACUAAGUAGGAGGACC
rnacentral:lncRNA from 1 species